GGGCCUUACAGGGGCAUAAAGCAAGGACAGCAGGUCAGAGAAAGCCAGCAGCAGGGAUCCUCCUCACCCUAGUGUUAAAAAAGACUUGUAGAGAGGGGAAGAGGGCUAGUGACUUGGUGUGAGGACUUCUGUGCAUCUAGAGAGAUACAUUUUGUAUCCUAGAAAGGCGCUCAGCUAGGUAAGACUUGAAAGGGCCUCAGUCUAGAAUAAGGUACACUGCCUUCCUAUCUGCACCAGUCGCUCAGAGAGGCUGGGAAGGAGAAUGCCGAAUACUGGUAUGUCGUUAUACAGGUUCAGCAAAAUGCACGGACAGGGGACUCUAAAGAAGAAAUUAGGAAGUUUUAGGGUGUGGUCUACAGGCUGCUAUGGCUGGUCAAACGGAACCAAGUCCGAAUUCCCUGGAGGUUUGGUCCCCUUCAACCAGCUAUGGCAGUGCUGAACACUCCAGCCUCUGACCAAGGUGCCGCUACAGCAAUGGAUCAUACAGAAUGCCCGAACAUGAUUUUUUUUAAAAUCAAAAUCUUAAUUUCUUUGUAUGUAUAUAACUUUAUUUAUAAACGCAAUGAGUUGGCUAAGUGGCUAAACAAUGGCGACCUAUGAUACAGUGAAAUACAUGAUAUGAAAAAUCAUCCAUAAAACGGCAAUUACAAUCAACACUGAGCAUUAUGCGGCACGUGGCGAACUAAACAUAAUGUACUGUACCCAUUGCAUAAACAUGGUGGAGGUGGCCAUUUUUAACUAAUAUUCCUUUUAAUUCAUUAGGAGCCAGUGACAACACCAAGGCAUGAGCAAUAGUACAUGUUUGUCAGCUGUCCCACCUUUUAUAACUUUGUCAAUGGAAAUGUUUGUCCUUGGAAAUGUCCCAGUUUUUCAAUAUUGGUCAAUAGAAUGUUUCUUCCCCCCCCCCCUCUAUUUAUACAAAGCUCAUAAUCUAUUUUUAUGUCCCAGACUUUAUAGAGUCACAUCUAUUAAUGAAGAUUAUUUGAAAUAUAAAAAAAUACAUACAGUACAGUAUAACAAGAUCCAGUAUUAAAAUGAGGACAGCAGUCCAACAAGUUCUGCUGAGACUGUCAUGUAUCCUCACUCACUUUUUCUUGCAUCCAUUAGAGGGGUGCAGGGGACAUAAUGGCGGCACAUUGUGGAGGAUUACAUGAACCCCUAAGUGUGCCUUGAAGAUAUUUUUAUAAUGUUGAUAUUCAGCUAUCGUGCUGUAUAAUAAUGUGGUAAUUACAGAGUGUUGGUACUACAGUAUAUGGUAUAUAACAAAGCUACCCAGAGUAAGUAUGUGUUUACCAUUUUAUAUAUUUAAAAUACGCCAUGAAACUGUUUGUAGUAUGCCUAUUCCUGUAUGACAUUUUUUUUUAAAUAAAAUUUUCUUUUGUUUUUCAUGUGUUUUAAAAAUGGUCCAAAUCAAUGUGUGUUCAUUAUUGUGCAAUAAAAGAAUACAUGUCUUGUAA